rnacentral:misc_RNA from 1 species
AGUGCUUUUACCUCAGAAUCAGAUAGAUCUGAAACUUUAUUGCUUUCUUCUUUAAAUGAAAUCAAAGAUUGAGGGAUCUUUUUGUCUUCAACAGGUUUAGAUUUGUCAGAUUCCGUAGGUUCUCUCUCAGGAAGUGUAAUAGAGACCUGUUGAGCCUCAGCAAGAGUUUUUGUUGGUUCUUGUGGAAGUUCAGUUAAAGGACCCUCCUUUUCAACAACAGUAACAACAGAGUGAUGCUCCUCUACAGCUUCUACAACUGAUUCAACUUCAACUGAAGCAAGAAGUGGUUCUGGUGAAGGUGGAGAUAGUAUAUCUUCCUCAGCCGGGAGUGGGGGCUGAUGGGUAUGCUCUGUUUCAG